UACAGAGGGGGCAAGCGUUAUUCGGAAUUAUUGGGCGUAAAGGGCGCGUAGGCGGCCUGACAAGUGGAAGGUGAAAUCCCUCGGCUUAACCGAGGAACUGCCCUCCAAACUGUUUGGCUUGAGUCCGGGAGAGGUGAGUGGAAUUCCCAGUGUAGCGGUGAAAUGCGUAGAUAUUGGGAGGAACACCAGUGGCGAAGGCGGCUCACUGGACCGGAACUGACGCUGAUGCGCGAAAGCGUGGGGGGCAAACGGG
rnacentral:rRNA from 1 species